GCUCUGUGGGGGCGGGGCGGGGUUAGGGUCACGCAGAAGAGCUGGGAAGCACAACAGUGCCGCAGCAUGACAGCACUGCAGUCUCUUUCCUAAGCAGGUAUUGCGCCAUUACCGAAAAUCUUUAGAGUAAAAUAAAGACGACUGUUGUACCUAAGUGCAGAGAUUUAUAAUUUUUGACAAAGAAAACAUGACAGUUAAAGAGUCUGAACCUUCUCUCUGUGGGGCAACAAAGCAGCAGAACUAGAUCACAACAGCAGACCCAGGCUUCUCUACAACAGGAGGUGCCUCCAGUCUCCUGAACAUCAACGAUUGGGUGUUUCUUUCAAUUUCUACUUUUUAUUAUCUUCCUAUUGGGACAAAUUGUGGUGCAGGGUCAUAGAGCGAGGUACUUUGUGCCUACAGUUUUGAGAAGCCCCUACCUUCUUUGACCCCAUCUCUUUCAACAUUUGUAGUUUCCUCUGUGCAGGAGAUAUGGAGAACUACGUGUCCCAUGAUGCCUUGGGGACAUGGCCUGUUCAUUUCCUGUCUAAAGAGUCCCAGUUGGGAGGCAUUAAGCUACCUUCUUGCUGGCUUUAAAAGGCUGUGGCAAACAUACGUUCGGGUUUGAAGACCUGAGAGACAGGCUGGCUUUUGGUGAUUGCUUAUUUUGGACUCUAGAAAGGUCAAAGUAAGUAGUACUGAAGUUUAGUACUCAUCUAAAGGAUUCUACUUGGUUAUAUUAUUGAUCCUAAAAAGUGUGAGCUUGCUGGUGUUUUUAGAUACUGUUUUUGUAGAAAACAGAGGCUGAAGUGCUUUGCUGUUUUUUCUCUGGUAGUAGACUGAGUAUUUUCACACUAUAAAGAGGCUGACUGUGCUGUCACUUCACUGUGGGCUCCAUUGGGUUGACUUUGUGCUUCGGUCACUGUUCUUUCACAGUGCUGCUCGAGAUUAAAGAAACCCAUUUCCCUUGUGCUUGCCUGCGUGUGGUGUCUCUUUUCUACCUGGACACUUUCUUGAAGCUCACUAUAGAGCAGCACACCUGAGCUGGGUGUGUGAAGAGGUUUCGAUUCCUUUGACAGAGAGGAGGCCACUAGGGGCUUAGUUCCAGGCAAUGACACUGUGAUUUGCAGUUGUAAAUAUCAAACAGGGUACAGGUCACUGACAUGCAUUUACUGUCCUGCAGAGUCUGCAUGCGUCUCAAAGCAGCAACAGCCCAGCCCUCUCGCAUACACAGCUAAAGUAGCAAAGUGAGAUGUGGGCUCUGAUCAGCAUGUCUGCUCAAGCAGAAGUUUGAUUAAAAACAAGCUGCAGUGACGGUUAAACCCCGCCUUGCUAACGGUUAGUUCAACAGCCCCACAGACUGGAAAUGUUCCUGCUUUGCCCACGUUUGCAGAAGAGCUUGUUUAUCGUGCUGAAAUCUCAUCAGCACCUGCUCCCACACCAGCCCUCAGCAAUCUGGCAGUGGGGGCUGUUCGAACAGCUGCAGGGCUGCUGCAAGCCAGCAGGUGUCAGUCCCUCACAUGCUUGUAUUGUACAGGAGCCCUGCAGCUGCUAAAACCUGGAAUGGACUCCAGCCCAGAGGCUUGGAGUCAGGAGGGGCUUGCCUUUCCCGAGCCCACUCUGUCUGGGAGCAGCCAUGAGCGAAUCGUUGGCGGGGGUGUCUGAAUUGGGGGGGGAGACUCGCAGGAGUGAAUGUAGAAAGGAGAAGCAGGGCUGCUCUCUGUGCCUGUGCUCGCUGCCAGAGCCCAGCCCCUCUGCUUCAGGAGGAGGAGGAGGAGGAGGGACGGACAGGGAGUGGAGGAAGACGUCUGCAGUGUCCACACUGUCCAUCAGGCUCUCGGAUGAAGCCAGGUGCAUGGACCCGGUCAGCAGGUCAGUACAGUCUCUCUGCCUCUCUCUGUCCUCCCUCGCUCUCUCCUGUACUAUCCCAUCUCCACCACGAGCCUCUCGCUCUUCAAAUCCCCCAAGUAGAUCAUUAGAAAGGCGCCAUUACUGAAACACAAAACUGCUUGUUUUGCAGAAAGCCCUUGUUGAACAGCUUGAAAAUAUCUGUGAGUUUAACCCAACGGGCUUCCGCCACAGGAGUGAAUCAGCACUAAAAAUGCUAACGCACAUUUUUCGAUGAAACUGAGUUUUCAAGAAGGUUUUAAAUAUUUGGCAUCUCCGGCCUGAGCUCUGAGCCACAUGUGCUGUAACCACAGAGAUUUAUAAUGAUCUCUGACAUGACGGCUGGUUCCCAUCACAGUCCGUCAGCUCUGGGAGCAGCAGAUAGUCUUUCUCUCAAACCUAAUGGGGCCCAGAGAUCCUGAACACCCAGAGAACAGAACUACUGCAAACUAUUCCCUUCUCUGCCCUUCAGUAUGUCCCCCUGUUGCCCCGAGCUCAUUGCACCCCGGUGGUCCCAGCUCUCCUGGCCAGCUGCAUGGAGUGACGGACUUCAUUUCUCGAUGCGCGUGCCAGUCGCGAUCUCGCACGCGGGUCCGUUUCGUGUCCUGCGGGUUCGGCACGCCGAGCACACAGCUGCCUCCUGUCCUCUCUGCCUGUACUGUACUGUCCGUCCGCUGCUGCGUUCUCGGUAUUCCGUGUGCUGCUCAGCUCCUGCUCCGUGACGCGGCGUUUGCCACGGCGCUCCGCAUCGCCCUGGGGUGCAGCUGACAGGCCCGGCCUGGCCGGAACAGGGCUCCUGGGACAGUCGCUGAUCUGACCGCUGCCAGGAGGAAGAGGGACCGGAGUGCUCCGAGGGAGUUUAACAUCUCCCAGCAGGGGGAGGAAGGGCGCUGGCGCAACACUGUCUUCAGGAGUCGCUGGGUUUGGCUCUGACGGGUCAGAAGGCUCUGUUUGUCUGUAUAUGCACAGGGUAAUUACACGGCAGUCUGCAAGCUGCAGUCUCACCCUCCGGGCCAUUUUACAUUCACGUCUGUGUGCUUCUGUCUCCUAUCCUGCCUUUCAAAAGAUGCAAACAGCGCUUUUCUUUAGCGCUGAACAGCUGGAGACAACGAGAGGAGCCGGCGGAACAGCCCAGCCGCGGCGGCACUUGAAUAUUCUAGAAAUGAUGGGAUCUAUGUUUUUCCUGUGGGAACCUCCCAGAGCCUAGUGCUGCUGCCAGCGGGGAGGAGGAAACUGGAGACUUGCAGUGUGAUCUUGCAGGAUUGCUGCUCCAACUUGACAGCUGCAGCCGAUGGACACACAUGCAGAUGUCAUCUAGAGUGCAGUCUCCUCAGGGUUGGGAGAGGCUAUCUAUAGCUCUAGUCUCACUGGCGCCUGACCAGGAGUAGGCAUGACUGUACAUCACCCCUCUCUGCCCUGGCUCUCCUGCUAACUGCUGCCACCAGCCCUGCGGCCAACGCCUGAGCCGAGCCUCUCCGUGUCGGCUGACUCGCCACUAUUGGCAAAGCGUCCGUCUCGCAGACUCUCCGCGGAUUUGGACAGAUCGAGAGGGCGCAGCUCCACCUAGUGGUCAUGUACUUCCCCAGCACAGGCGUGGCCCCGCCCCCCCACACACCCCCAGCGCCUACUAGGAUGUCCAGUAACCACGGAGAUGAUGUUGGAAGUUCUUAAGAAACUGCUGGAGCUGCGCAGUACUAUUGAGACAUGCAGACCUGGUGCAGUGUGGGAAUUAUCUCUGUGUCCAUCACAGAUUUUGUUUUGUGACUUUGUAUUACACUUAUUAGGUUUAUACUGAACAAUGAGGUUGAGGGGAGCUGGUACUCAGUGUUGCUGCUGCUGUGCUCGGUGACGCAGGGGCUGGAGAGCUGCAGCUGUUCCGCUGAGUCAGUUGGCCACAAUGCUCUAGUGGUAAACUGGAGGGAGAGGAGGUCUGGCAGCUCAUGCAGCGUGUAAACCUUCAGCAGAACGAGGUUUUCUAGCUCUGUACGAGCACGGUGUGUUUAGGUCUGUCUGUCGGCGAGCGUUGGUGGUACUGCCAGGUGCCCGGCGAGUCCUGCCCUACCUGGUCAGCUCUUUGAGACAGUGGAUGCAGAAGCGAUGCCCACACUGUGCCUGGAAGGGCUUCCGCAGCACCUGCCUGCACGCCUGGCACAGGUACUUGGGCUCAACGGGGACGGACAGCACCGUCUG